rnacentral:rRNA from 1 species
UAAGGAAUAUUGGACAAUGCCCGCAAGGGUGAUCCAGCCAUGCCGCGUGCAGGAAGACGGCCCUAUGGGUUGUAAACUGCUUUUACACCGGAGAAAACCUCCCCUCGUGAGGGGAGCUGAUAGUAUGGUGAGAAUAAGCAUCGGCUAACUUCGUGCCAGCAGCCGCGGUAAGACGAAGGAUGCAAGCGUUAUCCGGAUUCAUUGGGUUUAAAGGGAGCGUAGGUGGCCUUAUAAGUCAGUGGUGAAAUCUCUGGGCUUAACCCAGAAAUUGCCAUUGAUACUGUAGGGCUUGAGUACAGUUGCUGUGGGCGGAAUAUGACAUGUAGUGGUGAAAUACAUAGAGAUGUCAUAGAACACCGAUUGCGAAGGCAGCUCACAAAACUGUAACUGACACUGAGGC